rnacentral:rRNA from 1 species
CUAAGAAUCUUCCACAAUGGACGGAAGUCUGAUGGAGCGACGCCGCGUGGACGAUGAAGGCCGUGAGGUUGUAAAGUCCUUUUCGGGAGGGGGAAUAACCCGGGGAGGGAAUGCCCCGGGGAUGACGUGAAUCCCGGAAUAAGCCCCGGCUAACUACGUGCCAGCGGCCGCGGUAAUACGUAGGGGGCGAGCGUUGUUCGGAAUCAUUGGGCGUAAAGGGUGCGCAGGUGGCCCGACAAGUCUGGCGUUAAAGUGCGGGGCUCAACUCCGUGAUGCGCUGGAAACUGUCUGGCUUGAGUACAGCAGGGGGCGUCGGAAUUCCAGGUGUAGGGGUGAAAUCUGUAGAUAUAUGGAGGAACACCGGUGGCGAAAGCGGCUCUCUGGUCUGUAACUGACGCUGAGGCUCGAAAGCGUGGGGAGCAAAC